CAACAGACUGCAUAUAUUGAUAUACUUGCAUUGACGUUUCUAUGGCAACAGCUGCUUACAACUUUUAUUUAUUAAUAUAUUUUCCUUGCAAGUGUUACAAAAAUAAAAUAUAUAUAGAAUGUCACAAAAAGGCAGUGAAUCAUCUAAUGUAAUAUUAUGUGAACGAUUUAACAAACAUUUACGCGUUUCACAACCAAUGAAAUGCGAUAAAGUUGUACAUAGACCAAACAUUGUGAAAAAGGUUGUUUUAUCAAAACAAAUCAAUCCAGCAUCUAAACAUAGAAAAAGUAGAUCAACAGGUGUCAUUUCCAACACCAAAACAAAUGUAAAAACCUUCAAAAGUACAAAAUCUGACUGCAUGUUCCAUGUGUCUCAAGCAAAUUUUGAUUAUUGCAAGAAAUGUGGUGACUGCAAAGGAAUAGCAGAUAGAGUUGAAAAAUCUGAUAAUCUUUGCAAUAGAACCGUUCAUGCUAAAAAGACUAAACAUGACGGACAGACCGGUGUUCACCAACAUUACUUAAAUAAGAACUUUCAUCAAUCCACAGAAUCUAUAACCAACUGUACACCCAAAAAGGUGUCAUUAGAUACAAUAAAGGAACAGUCUGAAAGUAAUAACUCAUCCAAUGAUAUAUUCAGAAUUUAUGACGAUUGUUCAACAGAAGAAAUUGGUUUCUUCAACACAGAUGACCAACAUAACAUAGAUAUCUUAAAAAACUUUAGAAAUACAAACUUUUUUGAAUGCCAUUCGGCAAAAUCAAGAAUACAUAGUAUUGCCAAUAAAGAAAAACAUAAGUGUAUUUAUAGAUUUUAUUUAAAUGAAAGAUUGUUCCCUGUUCCUUUUAAUGCAGAUUUUAAUGAGAACAUAAGAUGUAUGGAGUGCAAUUUGCCAUUAAAAGAUGAAAACGAUCUGGCUACAAAUGGGAUGAUUCAGGCUAAAGUAAAACUUAAUAAUGAGGUACAGGACAUGAUUUUGAUGUUGCCAAUUAAAGAACAUUUAAUUAUUAAAGAAAGAAAAAUGAUAAAAAGUAAGGAGGAUAAAGACUCUGUCUAUUUUGGAAUAAUAAAGCUGGAUUUAAACGGUGAUUCAAUGUUUAAUAGAACACUUCCAGGUGAUUCUCUAGCCUUAAAAUACCAGAAAGGUUACAGGCAGUAUGCAGAUCACCUUAACUAUGACUAUACAAACAAUAAUAAUGAUGAAGUUGUUAUAAUAUAAAAGUUAUUUUAUUCAUCAAAAAUGUGAAUCUUAUUUAAAUUAUGGUUUAACUAUAUAUGCUCUUGAAACAAAAAAUCUUUUAUUAAUAUUUUUUACAUACACACUAUUCUCUUCUUAAUUUUGACUAAAGAUAAUUUUAACUUGGAGGAUUUUUUUAUGAAAAUUGGACACACUUAAUACAUUGUAUAUGCUCUUAAGAAUACAUAAUAAUAUAAUAUAUAAUGAACCAAGCCUGAAUUGCCUUUGUUGAAAGGUAUGCUAGUGGGCACACCCUACAUGUGCUACACCAGCUGCCUUUUAAGGUGUUUCUGAACUUCUUCAAACAUAAAGUACAAAGUGUUAAAAGGAAUGAAACAAGGCAAUGUGAAUGUCCCUAGUUGAUGGUUUAAAAAAAACAUUAACUCUCGGUUAUUAGUUAAAGCUAAGUACGUACUACCGAUUACGGAAUUAUAAAUUAACAAUUGUUGUAUGAUUUCUGUUGCUACGUCAUUCUAAUUGAGAUCUAAAACUCUAUCAUUAGGACAUAUUUUAAGAAGACUUCUAUUUGUAUACCUACCUACAAAAUAUUACAAACUUGAAAAUUCUUAGUGGCCGACCUUAUAAACCAGAAACAUUUAGCAAUAUGAACCAUAAUAUUUGUUUAAGUUGAAAUUGAAGGUCGUAUGAAAGUGGUGAAAUAUUUCACGCGUUGGUGAAGGGAUGGUAAUAAUGUUAAAGUUGCAUCCAAAACAAACUUGUUUGUGAUUUACAUACGCAAUAAAAAAAUAUAUAUGACAGUGAAAAGCGCGCGAAAUCAGUUGUUUGCGAGAGAGCGUCAAGUUCGCACUCGUUGAUAAAAAUGAUUUUUAGUGAAAGAAAAAUGUUUUUAUUUUUAUUUUGUAUUAUAAGUUCAGUGAUCGCAGAAAAUUCAUUGCCGGCUGAGUUUACAAGAUGUCGACAGAACGACGUCGCCAUCGACGAAUGCCUCAAGCACGCGGUGCCCGACGCGCUCAGGAAGAUGAAGAAAG